rnacentral:rRNA from 1 species
UACGUAGGGUGCAAGCGUUAAUCGGAAUUACUGGGCGUAAAGCGUGCGCAGGCGGUUUUUGUAAGUCAGAUGUGAAAUCCCCCGGGCUUAACCUGGGAACUGCGUUUGAAAACUACAAGGCUAGAGUGUGGCAGAGGGGGGGUGGAAUUCCACGUGUAGCAGUGAAAUGCGUAGAGAUGUGGAGGAACACCGAUGGCGAAGGCAGCCCCCUGGGUUAACACUGACGCUCAGGCACGAAAGCGUGGGGAGCAAACAGG